GGGGGCAUACCUGAUGGUUCGGGAGAGCGCUUGAAUGGCAUUCAAGAGGUAGUCGGUUCGAUCCCGAUCGUCUCCACCA
rnacentral:tRNA from 1 species